AUUGAACGCUGGCGGCAUGCUUUACACAUGCAAGUCGAACGGUAACAGCACUUCGGUGGCUGACGAGUGGCGCACGGGUGAGUAAUACAUCGGAACGUGCCUAGUAGUGGGGGAUAACUACUCGAAAGAGUAGCUAAUACCGCAUGAGAUCUAAGGAUGAAAGCAGGGGACCUUCGGGCCUUGCGCUCCUAGAGCGGCUGAUGGCAGAUUAGGUAGUUGGUGGGAUAAAAGCUUACCAAGCCGACGAUCUGUAGCUGGUCUGAGAGGACGACCAGCCACACUGGGACUGAGACACGGCCCAGACUCCUACGGGAGGCAGCAGUGGGGAAUUUUGGACAAUGGGCGCAAGCCUGAUCCAGCAAUGCCGCGUGCAGGAUGAAGGCCUUCGGGUUGUAAACUGCUUUUGUACGGAACGAAAAGCCCUCUUCUAAUACAGGAGGGUCAUGACGGUACCGUAAGAAUAAGCACCGGCUAACUACGUG
rnacentral:rRNA from 1 species